AACCCUGUCUUUAAAAAAAACAAACAAACUUUUUUUGGAGACCAGGAUCUCACUCUGUUGUCCAGGCUAGCCUUGAACUCUGGCCUCAAGCAAGUAGUCCCAGGUGCUCAGGAGGUUGAGACAGGAGGAUCAUUUCAGCUGGAGAAGUCAAGGCUACAGUGAGCCAUGAUCGUGCCACUGCACUUCAGCCUAGAUGACAAAGUAAGACCCUGUCUCAAAAAAAAAAAAAAAAAAUCUGAGGAUAGUUACAGAUUUCUUUGUUCCUCCUCCAUUCCCACUGCUUCAUUUGACUAAUCUUUUUUUUAUAAUUUUUUUUUUUGAGACAGAGUUUCACUCUGUCACCAGGCUGGAGUACAGAGGCAUGAUCUCAGCUCACUGCAACCUCCGCUUCCCAGGUUCAAGCAAUUCUCCUGCCUCAGCCUCCUGAGUGGCUGGAACUACAGGCACGUGCCACCUUGCCCAGCUAAAUUUGACUAGUCUUCAAAAACAAAAUCUGAAGUCAAAUAUAGCCCUUGAAUCAGUAAAAAAUGCUGUUGCCCUUUUAUAAUAGGGAGGAAGUUCCUGUGACAUACCUACUCCCUAAGGGAUUCCAGGAAAAUGGAAGAGCCAGAAAGGUAUACCUUGGACAGUGUCCAAGACAUACAUGCACAGGCUACACAUGUACAAGAGACAUGUGCAGAGUCCACGCCACUACAGGACACAAGUACAGACACAAGAGACAUUCCCUGUGGAGUUGCCUCUGUGGGCACAGAGGAGAAGCAAUGAGGACCCCUGGCAGGAUAACUGGAGAGUAUUUCCAGCCCCAGCAUUACCAGUGGACUCUGGGUUGGGGCAAGCCCAGGGAAGGGAAGCCCCUCGGCUUUUCAUCGGUCUCCAAGGUGUCUUUACCUUCCUAAGAGCAAAGGUCUGUUCACCUUGCUCUGGGGAUGUGGGAAGUUUCUACAAAUUUAGCCACUAUGCCCCAUGGCCUCCCUACUCCUGUCUUUGUGCUGCAUUUCCUUUCCCCAGAGUUUCUUAGCAAGUUCAUUUAAAAAAAAAAAAAAAAAAUCCAUCCCUGUCUUGGCUGAAUUCAGGGGUAAAGGGUUUUGUCCAGGAGAUGGUGAGGGGUGUUAGUGUAUACUGACCAUCUACUAUGAGUCAGCUUCUUUCACAAAUGAUCUCUCAAUUUUCUUUGUCUCUCUCUCUUUUUUUUUGGGGGGGGUGUUUUGAUUGUUUGUUUUUGAGGCAAGGUCUCCCUCUGUUGCUCAGGCUGGAGUGCAAUGGAACGAUCAUGGCUCACUGCACCGUAAAACUCCUGGGCUCAAGCGAUCCUCCCACCUCAGCCUCCCAAAUAGCUGAAACUACAGAUAUGUGCCCAGCUAAUUUUUAAUUUUUUUUUGUAGA